rnacentral:rRNA from 1 species
GAUGAACGCUGGCGGCGUGCCUAAUACAUGCAAGUCGAGCGAACAGAUGAGGAGCUUGCUCCUCUGACGUUAGCGGCGGACGGGUGAGUAACACGUGGAUAACCUACCUAUAAGACUGGGAUAACUUCGGGAAACCGGAGCUAAUACCGGAUAAUAUAUUGAACCGCAUGGUUCAAUAGUGAAAGUCGGUUUUGCUGUCACUUAUAGAUGGAUCCGCGCCGCAUUAGCUAGUUGGUAAGGUAACGGCUUACCAAGGCAACGAUGCGUAGCCGACCUGAGAGGGUGAUCGGCGACACUGGAACUGAGACACGGUCAAGACUCCUGAGGGAGGCCGCAGUAGGGAACCGUACGCAAUGGGCGAAAGUCUGACGGAGCAACGCCGAGCGAGUGAUGAAGGUCUCCGGAGCGUAAAACUCUGUUAUUAGGGAAGAACAAAUGUGUAAGUAACUAUGCACGUCUUGACGGUAACUAAUAAGAAAGCAACGGCUAACUACGUG